ensembl:rRNA 5S_rRNA 5S ribosomal RNA
UAUGGCCAUACCACCCUGAACGCACCCAAUCUUUUCGGAUCAUGGAAGCUAAACAGGGCCGGGCCUGGUUAGUACUUGGAUGGGAAAAGACAAAAGAAGUAGGUUUGAGGCAUUU